rnacentral:rRNA from 1 species
UACAGAGGCCUCGAGCGUUAGGCGGAAUCACUGGGCUUAAAGCGUGUGUAGGCGGAUGUCUAAGUGCUUUGUGAAAUCCCACGGCUCAACCGUGGAAUGGCUUGGCAUACUGGAUGUCUUGGGCCACCUAGGGGCGAGCGGAACAGACGGUGGAGCGGUGAAAUGCGUAGAUAUCGUCUGGAACGCCAAUGGUGAAAACAGCUCGCUGGGGGUGCGCCGACGCUGAGACACGAAAGCCAGGGGAGCGCACGGG